GGGAGGGAGGGGGAGGAGAUGUCUGUACAGUGCUCUCGUUUCCUCUUUGUAAUCUGGAGAGCGCGGGGUAGCCGAAGCUUGAGGAAGGGAGGCAGGAAAGAAAGCAGAGAGAUGCGCCCGGGGGACAGCAGCAGCCCUGGUGGCCUCUGCCACUCAACCUUGUGACUUUUUCCCCAGGCGGCAGGACGACGUCCCGGGCCCGUCACAUGCAGGAAACAGCUGCUGCAGUGCGGGUCUGGCGGGUGUAUCGCCUCGGCCUCCCUCUCCUCUCGGCCAGCCCCGUCCUGGGGCACGGUGCCCCCGGGGCCCAGGAAGAGAGCGGACUCUUUGGCUGGGCAAGAGGAGCUGCAAACUCUUAAGACCGCCGAGGGCAGGUGGGAGUGGAUUGACAGGGGAAGGGUGAUGGAGAGAGAGUGGGCCGUUCCCGACCUAUCCCUCCCGGAGAGCCACUUGCUUUUUCUCCAUCCCGUUUCACCAUCUUCUCUUCCCUACCGGCCCGUAGCUUGCUGGCCCAGGGGAGGAGGGACAGCACGCCCUGGAGAGAUGGCCGCAGCCAGCGUUCUAUACAAACAGCUGCCCAGCCAGGGUUAGAAUCUGGGCCGUCGCGGGUUUGGGAGCGCGUGUGUGCAUGUAUGCACUUUGCUGACUCUCAGAGGGAGGUCUGAUUGCACAGACUGUACCAGGCCAUCUAUUUAUAGCAGGCCAGCCAAGAGUGGGGCACAGUUAUUAAGGCCCGGUCUGCACCCUCUUCCCUUCUCAGCAACGACAUAACUAUCAGGCUGUGGGAUACCUCUGCUCUGUUCUUCGCCUUCCCAAUACGCUUUGGCCUUUUCUUUACCACUCCUCCCACCCCCUUCAUGGAAAUCGGGCCAGGCGGUAUGGUAAACCCUCCCAAACAGGAGAAUGAGACAAAUCACAGAAACCUGUUAUCUAAAGAGGUGCUGAAGAGGGAACCAAAUGGAUGUGUCUUAUGCUGCUGGAGUGAACAGAGACGGAUACGUCCUGGAUGAAGAUAAGGGAGGUGGAACUUCAGUCAAGUUCAUGGAACAUCUUAUAGUCCAGUUUGGAACAUGGAUAACAUGAAGAGGAAUAAUGUAAAAUUCACUGGAAAGUAGGGAAAUCAGAUAAUCACUGAAGAGUUGAAACGUUCCUCAGCAGUCAUAGUCUUCCCCUACUUGACUAAGAAUCCCCUCUAUAUAUUUGACAAGAGGUCAUCUAGCCUUUGUUUGAAGACUUCCACUGAGAGAAAACUUCAUUAUCUCCUGAGACAACUCAUUCCACUUUUGGACUGUUCUAAUUAUUGUGAAGUUUUUCCUUCCUAAAUUUGCUUCUCUGCAACUUCCAAGCAAGAAUUCUUCCAACAAGAAUUUAUUGAGUGUCUCCUAUGUGCCAAACACUGUGCACUGGGGAUAUAAAGAAAAACAAAAACCAUUCUUAUCCAGCAUGAGCUAGAAGCCAUUUACCACCCUAAUCGGCCCCCUCUAGACAGGGCCAUUUGUGUCCUUCCUAUGUCCACUGGAGAAUAAAUGAAAGUAUUGUCAACUUGUAUUUUACUCUUUUUUACCUUAGAAACAUCUUGUUUUAAACAAACUGUUUAGCUGCACAAGACUUGCUUUAGAGAAGUAUGGAAGAAGGAAAAUGUAGAUAAACACGAAAGCAAACAGCCCUUCAAUGCCUUAUUUUAUUAAACUCAAGGAAUUAGUUAGCCUUGAAAGACAACAGUCUAAAUGUGGACAGGAGAGACUCUCAGCAAUCAUAUUGAAUUCAAAUACUAGGGAUUUUUUUUUCCUAGUUCUACCUUUAUUCUUUUUGUUUGUUGACUUUUAAUCCGUAGGAACUUUUUAUCAGUAGUUAUUCCUCUUAUCAGAUAAGAGUAUCCUUUAAGUAUACUUCUAUAAUUUGUGCUUUCUUCUCAUAUCAGAAUGUAAGCUCUCUGAGGGCAAAGACUUUUGCUUUUGUAUUUGUGCUCCAUUGUUCAGCAAAGUGCUUGACAGAUAAUAAGCAUUUCUGGGCUUUUGCUUAAUCCAUUCAUUAUAUCCCAGACAGGUUAAACAUGCAUAUGAUUAGUCAACCUGUUUUGUUUUUAGAAUCACAAUUAGUAGGGUUUUAUGACCCUUCUAGUCUAACCUAUACCAGAAUAAUUGCCUGUAAUAGCUAGCAUUUAUAUAGCACCUACGACCACUGUGCUAAGUGCUUUACAAUUAGUUAUUUCAGUUGUUCACAACCCUAGAAGGGAGGUACUAUUAUUAUCCUCUUUUCACAGAUGAGGAAAUGGAGGCAGAGGUCAAGUGACUUCUUCAAGGUCACAAUGCUAGUGUAUGAGGCUGCAUUUGAACUCGGGUCUUCUUAACCUGGAAGCCCAGCCUGGGUACCAGCUAGCUACAACCCACCCUCCAAGUAAUCAUACAGCUUUUGCUUAAAGAGGAAUUGUACCAUGUUGCCUCACCUGAAGACAAGUGGUGUGGCAUUUGAACUCAGGAUCUUCUUCUCGGACAGGUUAAACCUAUUUCUGGAGUGGCAAAGAAUUGGAAAUUGAGGAGAUGCCCAUCAAUAAG